rnacentral:tRNA from 1 species
GUCCAGGGUAGCCUAGUGGUCAUGGCGGAAGGUCGUGGGUUCGAUUCCCAUCCCUUGACA